rnacentral:rRNA from 1 species
UACGUAAGGGGCAAGCGUUAUCCGGAUUUACUGGGUGUAAAGGGAGCGUAGACGGCAAUGUAAGUCUGAAGUGAAAGCCCUAGGCUCAACUUAGGAACUGCUUUGGAAACUAUAUAGCUAGAGUGCAGGAGAGGUAAGUGGAAUUCCUAGUGUAGCGGUGAAAUGCGUAGAUAUUAGGAGGAACACCGGCGGCGAAGGCGGCUUACUGGACUGUAACUGACGUUGAGGCUCGAAAGCGUGGGGAGCAAAC